rnacentral:rRNA from 1 species
AGAGUUUGAUCCUGGCUCAGAACAAACGCUGGCGGCGUGCCUAAUACAUGCAAGUCGAACGUCGAAAGUUUUCGGAUGAGUAGAAGUGGCGUACGGGUGAGUAACACGUGGGUAAUCUGCCUUAAAGUGGGGAAUAACCAGUCGAAAGAUUGGCUAAUACCGCAUAAGACCACGAGAUCUGCGGAUUUUGAGGUUAAAGGAGCAAUUCGCUUUAAGAUGAGCCCGCGCGGGAUUAGCUAGUUGGUGAGGUAAUGGCUCACCAAGGCUACGAUCUCUAGCUGGUCUGAGAGGAUGAUCAGUCACACUGGAACUGAGACACGGUCCAGACUCCUACGGGAGGCAGCAGUAGGGAAUAUUGCGCAAUGGGGGAAACCCUGACGCAGCGACGCCGCGUGAGUGAUGAAGGACUUCGGUUCGUAAAGCUCUGUCGCAGGGGAAUAAAUACGAAUGUACCCUGUAAGAAAGGAUCGGCUAACUUCGUGCCAGCAGCCGCGGUAAGACGAGGGAUCCAAGCGUUGUUCGGAACCAUUGGCGUAAANAGGGUCUAGGUUGUUUGAUAAGUCAGAUGUGAAANCCCGGGUCAACCCGGAAGUGAUNUAUCUGCNAACUUNANUGUGGAAAAGCUUGUANAAUUCAGGUGUANGGUNAAACCNGAUUUUGGNNGAAUCCGUGCAAAGCGGNUANUUGCCAANCUGACCUUUACCCAAANUGGGNUUANCAGGAUUAANCCNGGNNCCCCCCCAAANANGGACUUGUUUUNNGGUUUCCCUUUNGGCAANNACGNNAAANCCNNGGNGACCNCCAAAAACNAAAUUNGGCC